GCUAUGUGUCGUAGAUUAAAAAAAGGAUAUAUUAAAAGUAAAGCGGAAGCAACCAAUCAGAGCGCUUCCAUCUGGUCUUCGUCAUCGCGAAAUGACAAAGAAACAUACACGUAGCUCUCCCUCCUUUCCCUUCGCUCUCUCACGUCGCUACCACUUGACACUUCUGACAGAUCCAAACCAACAAAUGAUUCUCGCAGCUUCAGAAUCAACACCGCAUUCAGAAAUUAUGAAAAUAAAACUAACAAAAUUAAAAAAAAAAAAAUUCAUAAUAAUAAGCACUAAUAACAAUA
rnacentral:misc_RNA from 1 species